rnacentral:rRNA from 1 species
CCCUUAGAUGUCCUGGGCCGCACGCGCGCUACACUGAGUGUCUGAGAUACGAGUCUGCCUGGUCCGGCAAGGUCUAGGUAAUCGCUAAAAGACACAUCAUGCUUGGGAUAGAUUAUUGCAAAUAUUAAUCUUGAACGAGGAAUUCCUAGUAAGCGCAAGUCAACAGCUUGCGUUGAUUACGUCCCUGCCCUUCGUACACACCGCCCGUCGCUACUACUGAUUGGAUGUUUAAGCGAGGUUCUCGAACUGCUAGCGACUUAGCUUCGGUGAGGUCGCAGUGUGGGAAGUGAACCUAGCUUUAGUGUCUAGAGGAAGUAAAAGUCGUAACA